GACGAACCGUGCGAACGUUGUUCGGAAUCACUGGGCGUAAAGAGCUCGUAGGCGGUUUGUUGCGUCGGCUGUGAAAUCCCGAGGCUCAACCUCGGGUCUGCAGUCGAUACGAGCAAACUAGAGUGUUGCAGGGGAGACUGGAAUUCCUGGUGUAACGGUGAAAUGCGCAGAUAUCAGGAGGAACACCGGUGGCGAAGGCGGGUCUCUGGGCAACAACUGACGCUGAGGAGCGAAAGCGUGGGGAGCGAACAGG
rnacentral:rRNA from 1 species